rnacentral:rRNA from 1 species
ACGUAGGGGGCAAGCGUUGUCCGGAAUUACUGGGCGUAAAGGGUACGUAGGUGGCCUUUUAAGUUGGAUGUGAAAUCGCCGGGCUUAACUUGGGAUGGGCAUUGGAUACUGGAGGGCUUGAGUGCAGGAGAGGAAAGGGGAAUUCCCAGUGUAGCGGUGAAAUGCGUAGAUAUUAGGAGGAACACCAGUGGCGAAGGCGCCUUUCUGGACUGUGUCUGACACUGAGAUGCGAAAGCUAGGAUAGCAAACAG